GCGUUAAUCGGAAUUACUGGGCGUAAAGCGUGCGUAGGCGGUUUGUUAAGUCUGCUGUGAAAUCCCCGGGCUCAACCUGGGAAUGGCAGUGGAUACUGGCAAGCUAGAGUGUGUCAGAGGAUGGUGGAAUUCCCGGUGUAGCGGUGAAAUGCGUAGAGAUCGGGAGGAACAUCAGUGGCGAAGGCGGCCAUCUGGGACAACACUGACGCUGAGGCACGAAAGCGUG
rnacentral:rRNA from 1 species